GAUGAACGCUGGCGGCGUGCUUAACACAUGCAAGUCGAACGAAGAUGCCGGAGUGCUUGCACUUUGGCAGACUGAGUGGCGGACGGGUGAGUAACGCGUGGGUAACCUGCCUUAUACAGGGGGAUAACAGUUGGAAACGACUGCUAAUACCGCAUAAGCGCACGGUAUCGCAUGAUACAGUGUGAAAAAACUCCGGUGGUAUAAGAUGGACCCGCGUCUGAUUAGCUUGUUGGUGAGGUAACGGCCCACCAAGGCGACGAUCAGUAGCCGGCCUGAGAGGGUGAACGGCCACACUGGGACUGAGACACGGCCCAGACUCCUACGGGAGGCAGCAGUGGGGAAUAUUGCACAAAUGGAGGAAACCCUGAUGCAGCGACGCCGCGUGGAGAAGAAGUAGUUCGCUAUGUAAAAGCUCUAUCAGCAGGAAGAUAGUGACGGUACCUGACUAAGAAGACCCCGGCUAACUAACGUGCCAGCAGCCGACGG
rnacentral:rRNA from 1 species